GACGAACGCUGGCGGCGUGCUUAACACAUGCAAGUCGAACGAUGAAGCGGUGCUUGCACCGUGUUUUAGUGGCGAACGGGUGAGUAAUACGUGAGUGACCUACCUUUGACUCUGGGAUAAGCCUGGGAAACUGGGUCUAAUACCGGAUACGACCAAUCUCUGCAUGGGGUGUUGGUGGAAAGCGUUAUGGAGUGGUUUUAGAUGGGCUCACGGCCUAUCAGCUUGUUGGUGAGGUAAUGGCUUACCAAGGCGACGACGGGUAGCCGGCCUGAGAGGGUGACCGGCCACAAUGGGACUGAGAGACGGCCCAGACUCCUACGGGAGGCAGCAGUGGGGAAUAUUGCACAAUGGGCGCAAGCCUGAUGCAGAGACGCCGCGUGAGGGAUGACGGCCUUCGGGUUGUAAACCUCUGUUAGCAUCGAAGAAGCGAAAGUGACGGUAGGUGCAGAGAAAGCGCCGGCUAACUACGUG
rnacentral:rRNA from 1 species